CAAUAGUGUGUUACCAUUUCUAGCCUCUUGCAGUUCCUUUGCUUCCUUUUGCACUAUGUCAUUAUCUUGUAUCUUGCAGUUUUGAAACCAAUAUCUCCUCUGAGACCUGAGCCAUAGAGUACUUUACAAUAUCUGCAAACAGAUCCUGGCAGACUGCUGAAAAUGUCUCAAUUUCAUGCUGUUAUUUGAGCCUCACGAUGUGCUACCUGAACAUGUGAACAUUUUUUUUACUUACUCAGAUAGUCUGAUGGACAUGAAGAGGUUACAGGUUAAACAAUAACAGUUUCCACCUCCUGUGUUCAACUGAGCAUUCACGUGCCAGCAUUAUAUGAAGCCCUAAAUGUAGAAAUGGAUGCCUGGGGAAAACAUAUGCCGUAUAUACCGUGCACAGACAGUAAGGUGCUGGAACACUGGUAAGUUACUCUGAGAUCCAAAAAAAAUAAUCACAGAAACUAGGGCCAGAAGGACCUCAAGAUGUUGUUUACCUUUUUUCAUCUGAUAAAUGUUUGUCUAAAAUCUAAGAAAGGGAAAAUUUGCUCCAGGUGCCAGCUUGAAAGACUUGGAGGAAUGAUGUAGGAAACAAUUGUUUGCUUUCUGCAGUGGUUCAGAAGCUUUCUCAUUCUUUCUAAGUAAAUAGAUUACAACAAAGACAUCUGACUCCUUCACCACCUUCCUCCUGAUGGAAUCAAUACACAAUGCCCUGAGCUUUGACCAAGCACUCUGGUCAGAAAAAGGUAAAAUUACUCUGUGAAAUUUCAUCUUCACCUGAUGAUGAUUUCAGUAUUCUUCUGCCAGACAGAGGCGAUUAGUUGUCUUCACGACUCAGGAGAAAUGCCAUAGCUGUAGUUUGUGGAUGAAUGAGAACUACAGAGUAGUGAUAAUUCCUGACAUUAAUUGGAUUCUGGCUGUGGAUCAAGAACUCUCAAUCUGUCUUGCACCAUUAGCAGCUUAGAAUUGACUGUACUUUGUAACAGGAUCUGCAGAGUUUUUCCAUGAUGCUACUGCUUUUAGAUUAGGUGACUUUUAUUUAUGUAAAGGGUAUGUCUCUGUUAGCACUUAUAAAAAGUGUUUGUGUGCCUCUUCCUACGACAGCAUGAAGAAGGCUGGCAACAUGUGAGGGUAGUAUUCAAAAAAUGUGUUAAGAGCAGAAGGGAGAGCUUCUGCCAUUAUUUUAAUAAAAACACUGGUGUUGUGAUUUUCCUUUUGUUU
rnacentral:lncRNA from 1 species